rnacentral:rRNA from 1 species
ACCCGCUGAACUUAAGCAUAUCACUAAGCGGAGGAAAAGA